rnacentral:rRNA from 1 species
GACGAACGCUGGCGGCGUGCUUAACACAUGCAAGUUGAACGGAAAGGCCCUGCUUUUGUGGGGUGCUCGAGUGGCGAACGGGUGAGUAACACGUGAGUAACCUGCCCUUGACUUUGGGAUAACUUCAGGAAACUGGGGCUAAUACCGGAUAGGAGCUCCUGCUGCAUGGUGGGGGUUGGAAAGUUUCGGCGGUUGGGGAUGGACUCGCGGCUUAUCAGCUUGUUGGUGGGGUAGUGGCUUACCAAGGCUUUGACGGGUAGCCGGCCUGAGAGGGUGACCGGCCACAUUGGGACUGAGAUACGGCCCAGACUCCUACGGGAGGCAGCAGUGGGGAAUAUUGCACAAUGGGCGGAAGCCUGAUGCAGCAACGCCGCGUGCGGGAUGACGGCCUUCGGGUUGUAAACCGCUUUCGCCUGUGACGAGGCGUGAGUGACGGUAAUGGGUAAAGAAGCACCGGCUAACUACGUG